rnacentral:rRNA from 1 species
UGAGUAAUGUCUGGGAAACUGCCCGAUGGAGGGGGAUAACUACUGGAAACGGUAGCUAAUACCGCAUAACGUCUUCGGACCAAAGUGGGGGACCUUCGGGCCUCACACCAUCGGAUGUGCCCAGAUGGGAUUAGCUAGUAGGUGGGGUAAUGGCUCACCUAGGCGACGAUCCCUAGCUGGUCUGAGAGGAUGACCAGCCACACUGGAACUGAGACACGGUCCAGACUCCUACGGGAGGCAGCAGUGGGGAAUAUUGCACAAUGGGCGCAAGCCUGAUGCAGCCAUGCCGCGUGUAUGAAGAAGGCCUUCGGGUUGUAAAGUACUUUCAGUGGGGAGGAAGGCGUUAAGGUUAAUAACCUUGACGAUUGACGUUACCCGCAGAAGAAGCACCGGCUAACUCCGUGCCAGCAGCCGCGGUAAUACGGAGGGUGCAAGCGUUAAUCGGAAUUACUGGGCGUAAAGCGCACGCAGGCGGUCUGUCGAGUCGGAUGUGAAAUCCCCGGG